rnacentral:rRNA from 1 species
GACGAACGCUGGCGGCGCGCCUAACACAUGCAAGUCGAACGAGCGAGAGAGAGCUUGCUUUCUCGAGCGAGUGGCGAACGGGUGAGUAACGCGUGAGGAACCUGCCUCAAAGAGGGGGACAACAGUUGGAAACGACUGCUAAUACCGCAUAAGCCCACGACCCGGCAUCGGGUAGAGGGAAAAGGAGCAAUCCACUUUGAGAUGGCCUCGCGUCCGAUUAGCUAGUUGGUGAGGUAACGGCCCACCAAGGCGACGAUCGGUAGCCGGACUGAGAGGUUGAACGGCCACAUUGGGACUGAGACACGGCCCAGACUCCUACGGGAGGCAGCAGUGGGGAAUAUUGCACAAUGGGGGAAACCCUGAUGCAGCGACGCCGCGUGGAGGAAGAAGGUCUUCGGAUUGUAAACUCCUGUUGUUGAGGAAGAUAAUGACGGUACUCAACAAGGAAGUGACGGCUAACUACGUG